rnacentral:rRNA from 1 species
AUACGGAGGGGGCUAGCGUUGUUCGGAAUUACUGGGCGUAAAGCGUACGUAGGCGGACUGAUCAGUUGGGGGUGAAAUCCCAGGGCUUAACCCUGGAACUGCCUUCAAUACUGUCAGUCUUGAGUUUGCGAGAGGUGAGUGGAAUUCCUAGUGUAGAGGUGAAAUUCAUAGAUAUUAGGAGGAACACCAGUGGCGAAGGCGGCUCACUGGCCCAUUACUGACGCUGAGGUACGAAAGCGUGGGGAGCAAACAGAAUUAGAAACCCUAGUAGUCC